AUGGCGGCACUGCGGUGUCGUUUUCUCUCUUGGGAGCAUCGUUUGCGGAGCAGCGCUGGAUGUCAGAGGCAGGAGGUGGAGCGGCUUCGUCUUGCACGGAGCUUCGGUGGUGAUGUCAAGUCAUGCCUGACCGACAGGUGCUACGCUUUGUCAUGCCUGGUCGGCAGGUGCUAUGCACGACAGAUCUUCCAAGGACUUCAAGCUGUGUUGGCUGGUGAUACCUGGCAGCAUGGCGCUGAGGUGUAUCAGUGGCGACCGCGAGGUGCUCAGCUGUUUGCGCGCAGGGAGGAGGUGCCGUUUGGCGCCGUGGUGGCGUCGACGAUAGCUAGACCGAGCAAGGUUGAUGCAUCAGUACAGUUCUGA
rnacentral:rRNA from 1 species